AUUGAACGCUGGCGGCAGGCCUAACACAUGCAAGUCGAGCGGAGCGGCGGACGGGUGAGUAAUGCCUAGGAAUCUGCCUGGUAGUGGGGGAUAACGUCCGGAAACGGGCGCUAAUACCGCAUACUAUCAGAUGAGCCUAGGUCGGAUUCGCUUGGUGGUGGGGUAAAGGCAUACCAAGGCGACGAUCCGGAACUGGUCUGAGAGGAUGAUCAGUCACACUGGAACUGAGACACGGUCCAGACUCCGACGGGAGGCAGCAGUGGGGAAUAUUGGACAAUGGGAGAAAGCCUGAACCAGCCAUGCCGGGUGUGUGAAGAAGGUCUGCGGCUUGUAAAGCACUUUAAGUUGGGAGGCGUGACCAAAAGAAUAAGCACCGGCUAACUUCGUCCAGCAGCCGCGGUAAUUC
rnacentral:rRNA from 1 species